ACCCACACCUAAAAACUUUUCCACGUGAACCGUUCCAACCCAAUCGUUGGGGGUCUUCUUCGGCGGCGGCUGCUGGCUUAAUUGUUGGCGGCUGCUGCUGAGUGAGCCCUAUCAAAAAAAAGGCGAACGUUUGGGCUUCGGCCUGAUUUAGUAGUCUUUUUUUCUUUUAAACCCAUUCCUUAAUACUGAAUAUACUGUGGGGACGAAAGUCUCUGCUUUUAACUAGAUAGCAACUUUCAGCAGUGGAUGUCUAGGCUCGCACAUCGAUGAAGAACGCUGCGAACUGCGAUACGUAAUGCGAAUUGCAGGAUUCAGUGAGUCAUCGAAAUUUUGAACGCAUAUUGCACUUCCGGGUUAGUCCUGGAAGUAUGCCUGUAUCAGUGUCCGUACAUUAAACUUGACUUUCUUCCUUCCGUGUAGUCGGUGGAGGAGAUGUCAGAUGUGAAGUGUCUUGCGAUUGGUCUUCGGACCGGCUGCGAGUCCUUUUAAAUGUACUAAACUGAACUUCUCUUUGCUCGAAAAGUGGUGGCGUUGCUGGUUGUGAAGGCUGCUAUUGUGGCAAAUUGGCGACUGGUUUGUCUGCUGCGGCGUUAAUGGAAAGAGUGUUCGAUUCGUGGUAUGGUUGGCUUCGGCUGAACAAUGCACUUAUUGGACGUUUUUCCUGCUGUGGCGUGAUGGACUGGUGAACCAUAGCUCGGUGGCUUGGCUUUUGAAUUGGCUUUGCUGUUGCGAAGUAGGGUGGCAGCUUCAGUUGUCGAGGGUCGAUCCAUUUGGGAACUUAAUGUGUACUUCGGUAUGCAUCUCAAUUGGACCUGAUAUCAGGCAGAUUACCCGCUGAC
rnacentral:rRNA from 1 species